rnacentral:lncRNA from 1 species
UCAAUUUCACUUUAGGAUUCUUAUUUUGCAAAAGUGCAUUGCCGGGGUCAGUUUUCUCAAAAAUACUAUUUCAAUGCAAUUUCACAAUUCAAUAGAGUAAUUCAACUCUUUAUUAGCCCAAGGUCCUCAAAUCAGUUAGUAAAAACUGUCUAAAUACUUCGAUUCAUCUUUCACUCUAUUUCAUUAUCUUUCUUUCUUGCUUUCUUUUCUUUUCUUUCCUUUCUUUUCUUUCCUUUCCUUUCUUUUCUUUCCUUUCCUUUCUUUUCUUUCUUUUCUUGCUUGCUGCCCCUGCAGGGCAGCAGCUGCUGCUGCCACUGCUGCUGCGCAUGCUGCU